rnacentral:rRNA from 1 species
AGAAACAUACUUGUGCAAUGUCUUUCUUACAGCACCCUCGCCAGCGAAGAGUUCCUUCACCAUGCCCUCAAUCUGCUCGCCGAAGCCAGCCUCAUAGAGAUCGAGACCGAACACAUCCUUGCGACUAUAGAGGUUCUUGAGGCAUGAGUAAUCCUGAUCUGCCUUGCCCACCUCCAAAGGAGCCACAAUAGCCUGGAGCUCUGCCAACAAUGGGUCAGAAGAUGGCUCGAAUGGCUUCAGAUUAUCAUCCAAUGCCUUGAGAUAACGGGCAUAACCUGCCAAUACCAAAGGAAUCAACACGAGAUUGCUCUUAUCGAGACCGCGGUCGAUGUACUUCUUGAUUGUCUCACCGAAACGGAUAGAGAGUUUCUGGCUGGUAUCGGUAGCGAUACGCUGAGGAGCAUCUGGCAUGAACGGGUUAGGCAGACGCUUGUUGAUAACGGUGCCGAUAAAUUCGUAUGGAUUUAAUACGCCUGGAUCUGUUACUACUGGCAUUGCCUCGAUAUAACCGAUCUUCUGGAUGAAGGCACGAAGGUCCUCAUCAGCCAUCUCGGCAGAAAUCAAGGUAUAGUCGAGCAUGCAACCAUAGAUUGACAUCGCUGUAUGGAGAGGGUUCAGACAGGUGGUUACCUUCAUGGUCUCAACCUCAUCCACGGUCUUGCGGGUGGUAUAGAGCGCACCGCCCAACUCCAAUGGCGGACGACCGUUGGUAUAAGUAUCCUCGCAAACGAGAUACUGCACUUCCUCGGCAUUUACGAAAGGAGCGGUGAAAGUAUGCUUCUCGGUGAUAAUCGUAUUGUUAUCCUCGAAACCAUCCUCAGCGAGCAUCGCCUGGACCUUCUCGUGUGGACGAGGAGUAAUCUUAUCAAUCAUAGAUCAAGGAUAGGUAAUCUUGCUGCUGUCAUUGAUAUAAUCUACGAAACCAGCCUCUACGAUACCAUCCUGUGCCCAACGCUCAGCAUAAGCCUUUACGCCAGCCUUAACAUGGUCGCCGUUGUGAGAACAGUUGUCGGUAGACUGAAGAGUAAGUGGCAACUUGCCUGCCUUAUAACGCUCAUAGAGAAGAGCGGUAAGCUUACCCAUAGCAAAUACUGCAUCAAGACCACGUGCCAAAUCGGCAUCAUUGAAAGAAUAUCCCUUCUCUGUGAUGGUGAAAGUUACCAUCUGCAGACUUGGUGCCUGGAAAAUCUGGACCAAUCGGGCCCAGUCCUCACCAAACUGCUUAUCCGCCUUGAGGCUUUCUGUGAUAGAAGCGAUGACCUUCUUCUCGAUGGUUCCGUUGCUCUGGAGGCUGACGAGAAGAGAGAGAUUAUUGUAAGGGCGAUAAGCCUUGUCGAUAAUUUCGUAGUCGAAGCUUUCAGCAACAAUAACACCCCGAUCGUACUUGCCUGUGUUAAGCGCAUCGUUGAGGAUGGCUGCCGGGAAAGCACGGAAGAUGUUACCUGCACCAAAGUGAACCCAAGUAGGCUCAUCGUGAGUCUUCUUAGCUACGGCUGCGAUGUCAUACUUAGGAAGCUCAUAACCCUUAGCUUCCCAUUCUGCAGCAUUAAAGCUGUCUGAAAGAAUUUCGUUCAGUUUCAUGAUUAUACGGUAUUUUUUGAUUGUUCCAUGUACUCGCCUAUCUUUCCGAAUAGGCGUGGCAAAAAUACAAAGAAAAAUCGAAACCCGCUCAUUUUAUCAGUGAAAUUGUAGUAUCGGUGAAGAUGCCGAUUACCCGCGAUGGGACGAAAAGACCCCGUGAACCUUUACUACAGCUUAGCAUUGACCUUGGUCAUCCGAUGUGUAGGAUAGGCCGGAGGCUUCGAAGCGGGAGCGCCAGCUUUCGUGGAGCCAUCCUUGAAAUACGGCCCUUUGGCUGUCUGAGGUCUAACGCGUGAUACGCGGACACUGCUUGGUGGGUAGUUUGACUGGGGUGGUCGCCUCCAAAAGCGUAACGGAGGCUUCCAAAGGUGCCCUCGGGUCGAUUGGUAACCGACCUCAAAGAGUGCAAUGGCAUAAGGGCGCUUGACUGGGAGGCAGACAUGCCGAGCAGGCAGGAAACUGGGGCAUAGUGAUCCGGCGGAUGUGUAUGGAAACUCCGUCGCUCAAAGGAUAAAAGGUACUCCGGGGAUAACAGGCUGAUCCCCCCCAAGAGCUCAUAUCGACGGGGUGGUUUGGCACCUCGAUGUCGGCUCGUCACAUCCUGGGGCUGGAGAAGGUCCCAAGGGUUGGGCUGUUCGCCCAUUAAAGUGGCACGCGAGCUGGGUUCAGAACGUCGUGAGACAGUUCGGUCUCUAUCUAUCGUGGGCGUGGGAGUUUUGAGUGGUGCCGUCACUAGUACGAGAGGACCGUGAUGGACAGACCUCCGGUUUACCAGUUGUGCCGCCAGGCGCACCGCUGGGUAUCUGAGUCUGGAUUGGAUAAGCGCUGAAAGCAUCUAAGUGCGAAGCCAGCCGCAAGAUGAGAACUCCAUUGAGGGUCGUCAGAGACGAUGACGUUGAUAGGAUGCAGGUGUAAAGACAGCGAUGUCAAAGCCGAGCAUUACUAAUUGCCCGAACACUUUCUUU